rnacentral:lncRNA from 1 species
AUUUUAAAAGGGGUAUAUCCCGGCUGCUGUGUGGAGAAUGGAGAAGAGGAGGCAGGGUAACCACGGCCAUGACAUCUUCCGCCUGGUUCAGGAUACAGACAAUGAACACAAAAGUGAAUGCAUUCAAGAGGUACUUCAGUGGUGGAAUGAAUUGAAUUGGGGAGAAGGAUAAGAAGAGAGUCUAGAAAUAUGCUUAUAUUUUUGGAUUAAAUAUAUAACAGAUAGUAGAGAGUUUUACUGAACUAGAGACAACUAGAAGGCAAAAUUUUUAGAUGGAAAAAACUACAUAUCUUAGGAUCACAAAGGUGACCUAAAACUGAACAGCUAACUGAAUACUAAGUAUUUAAUUAUCAAUAAUUUUACUUGCCCUUCAUAGGAUUAUAAGAGUUCUGGGUAGAUGAUUCAGAUGGCCCAUUUCUUACUAAAACUUUCCCAAUUUUGCAUGAAUAUCUAAGGCAUCUGAAAUAGAAUUAUUUUUAAAUCUGGAUGUGCUCAGGAAUUUAUUUCUCAUGAAGAAAAAAAGAAAAGCCAUGUUUAAGGGAAAGGCUGAACUAGUCUAUCUUAUAUCUUGUUGAAUUCAUAAUUGUAACCAGAAUUUCUAGUGGUGGAAAUAAUACCAUCAGGAAACAAUAAGAGCUUUAGGCCUUUUCUUCUCAUCUAUCCCUUUUGCCACUAACUCUGCCACUGUAAUUUUCAGUUUUGGCUUAAAAUUCUGUGUUCUCUGCACAAUAGGCUAUGGCAUUAUGUCUUUCCCAGACUCAUAAACCCCUAAGCUGCCAUCUGCUCACCCAAAACUGCUUUGAAUAUCCAUUCUCUAAACUAAAGCCCACAUUUAUUACCUCCAAAGAUUUUUUCCAUACUACAACCACAUAUUUGGGUUCAAUAAUCCAAAAAUCAAUCAUUCAUUCAAGUUUAGUAUAAUACUUACUUGAGGAAAGCAGUCUGCCUAAGUGCUGAGCUGAAAAGACAAACAUUAAGUUACUGUAUCUCACAAUGAUUGAAAUCUUACUGGAUUGAUAGCAGAGUGCUUUGCACAAUUUUGGGAAAACUAAACAAGUGUAAAAUUUUUAGGACCAAGUUUUAAAGUAACUUACCAAUAUGUUACCAUUUAACAUUUCUAAUAUAGGCCUUUAAGAAUCUUACUGGCUUGCACAGUUGUCUUAUCCAUUAAUAAAGGGGCAAACAAUAAGAUAAAAUCUAACAGAUCUUAGCCUCUUAAUUUAGUAGUAACAUUGAAAGCUUACAUUAACAAAUUAAAUAUAGAGCCUGAUCUCAAGACUUUUAUAAAUUCAAAUGCUUAAAAGUUAAUCAAUUAAUCUUUCCGUUACACUUGGAGUAUCUCUUCACCCCAUCACUUUCACCCCCUCCUAGCCCUGAAGGAUCAUUAGAGACAAGAUGCAUGUUACGAUUAGUAACUGUAAAAAUGAGAUAUGUUAUUAACAUUUCUCCUAAAUGGCAAUGCCAUUCUGUCUUGCCUAACCUUUAUAAGUUGUUUUCAAGUGAUUAUGCAAUUCUAUUCAGAUUUGGGGAGAAUUACACAAAAUCUUAUAUAUGUGACAAAUAUACAAAUAUUAUAAAUAUUUGUCACCUUUUCAGAGGUGAAUAAAAACGGGAUAAAAUCUGGGGCGCCUGGGUGGCUCAGUCAGUUAAGCAUCGGACCCUUGAUUUCAGCUCAGGUCAUGAUCUCACAGUUCGUAAAUUGGAACCCUGCAUUGGGUGUCGUGCUAGCAGUUUUGAGACUGCUUGGGAUUCUCUCUCUCUCUCUCUCUCUCUCUCUGCCCUUCCCUGACUUGCCCUCUUUCUUUCUCUCUCUCAAAAUAAGUAAAGUUAAAAAAAAAAAAAAAGAUAAAAUCUUAGAAGGCAUCCAUGGAUCAUAUUUAUUUAUCAUAUUUAUUGCUUCUGUGAUAUAUUUCCUGGCCUGGUGCCAAUUAAUUUGCAAUUAAUUUGAAUUGUGUAAAAUUUAUAAUGCUAACAGGUGCUUCUGGUUUAGGAUGGCAAAUUUGGCACAAAUACUUACUCUUCUUACUCAUAAGUUCAGAAAAUCUUGUAGAUUUUACAAAAGCAUACACUGCCAGAACAAAUAAAACCAGAAUUGUGAGGAAAAAUUUGUAAAAGCUAUCCAGGAAAGUCAUGGUCCAAGUAUGAUGUGAAGUGUUCAAAUCAGAAUAAAAAGUCAGCAGGUGUAAGAAAGAAGAAUGCAAUGGAUACCAAGAAACAGAAUAAGUGAAUGAGAUGCUGAAAUAAUAGAUACAGUGAAAAGAAAAAAAUAAAAGAUAAUAAGAAAUUACAGGGGGAAAAAGCUAUAUAAAAAAAGCACAAAAAGAAAUGUAGAAAAUUAAAACAUGCUAUGAUUUUGAGAAGUCAACAAAUGGUGUGUAUUGCUUUUUUCUACAUUUCAUUGGCCACAACUCAACGGUGGCAAGCUGUAGUAGUAACUAGAAACUUUGAUUCGUUUACUAGAAAUAAAAGCUUGAUGAGCACUUAGGCCUAUUUUACAGUUUCUGUGAAAUGGUUAACAGUUUAAACUCUCAUUUUUUUAUUCCAUCAUUCUCAGAUAUGAUCUUUUGACUCCUUUGCAAGAUGACAGUAUUAUCAUUUUCCUACCUCUCAUCACCCUAUCAUCCAGUUUCUGCUACAAGUACAUUAUAUUUUUUAUUGCAUGGUUGGUAAUAUUUACCUUAUAUUCAAUAACAAUCAAGUUUGCUGUCUUUUGAAUAUUGGUUAAUUAUAAAAGUUUAUAGUCCAUAAGAGCAUUUAUGUCAUUAUAACUAUAAAAUAUUGUUCAUUACAGAGCCACAUUUUGUUCUAUUAUUGUAUUCUUUUUCAGACCUAUUUGCAUGCUCAUAGGAGAGUAUAUUUAAUGGAUUUUUCCUGUCUAAUACCCUUUAAACAAUCUGAACAACAAAGAGGAUAGAUAGAUAGAUAGAUAGAUAGAUAGAUAGACAGACAGACAGACUGUUUGGAACUAUAACAAAAGAUGUGAUGUCCUUGCCAUCAGAGACACAAGAGCAGAGAAAGUGAUGAGGCUGGAAAAGUACUAAAAGAACUCAUGGCUAAACACUUCCCAAAUGUGGCAAGGAACAUAAAUUUUCAUAUUCAAGUUGUUAAGUGAACCCUAAACAGGAUAAACCCAAAGAAAUCAGUGCCAAGGCAUAUCAUAAUGAAAGCUUAAAAACUAAAGACAAAAAAAAAUCUGGAAAUGGCUAGAGAAAAAGAAUGUCUUACCAUAGAGGGCAAAAGGGAGUGGCACAGUAUUUUUCAAGUGCAAAAACAACAGUAAGAAAUCCUGUCUACCUAGAGUCCUACCAAUUAAAAUAUUCUUUUUUUUUUAAGAAAAAUUCAAGAUAUCAUCAGAUGAAGGAAAACUAAGAAAAUGUGUUGCUAAAGAACACAGUAAGCAAAAUUACAGGUAAAUAAAAUAGACUUCCCUUCUCUUUAGUUUUUAAAAUUAUGUUUGGUUGAAUCAAAAAUUCUAACAUUGUCACAUUGAUAUGGUUUUAAUUAUAUGUAGAGGAAAUACUUUCAAAAAUUAUAAAUGGGGGUAGAAUAAAAGGAGAAAAAGGGAGCUAAGUCUUCUGUAUUUCACUUAAACUACUGAAGAAAUGACAUCAGUGGACUGUGAGACAUAUCACAGUACAGCCAUAGAUUUAACACAAACACACGUACACAUAUACACAUACUUAAGGUAAUAGAACAACCACUAAAGAACCAUACAGAGGGGCGCCUGGGUGGCGCAGUCGGUUAAGCGUCCGACAUCAGCCAGGUCAUGAUCUCGCGGUCCGUGAGUUCGAUCCCCGCGUCNNNNNNNNNNNGGCUCUGGGCUGAUGGCUCAGAGCCUGGAGCCUGUUUCCGAUUCUGUGUCUCCCUCUCUCUGCCCCUCCCCCGUUCAUGCUCUGUCUCUCUCUGUCCCAAAAAUAAAUAAACGUUGAAAAAAUAAAAAUAAAAAAAAAGAACCAUACAGAAAGACAGGAUUAUCAAAAACAAUAUAGGGGCACCUGGGUGGCUCUGUAGGUUAAGUGUCAGACUUCAUCUCAGGUCAUGAUCUUGCGGUUUGUGAGUUCGAGACCUGCGUGGGGCUCUAUGCUGACAGCUCAGAGUCUGGAGCCUGCUUUGGAUUUGGUGUCUCCUUCUAUUUCUGCCCCUCCCUCACUCGCAUUCUCUCUCUCUCAAAAAUUAAUAAACAUUAAAAAAAUUAAAAAAACAAUAUAGAUAAAUUCAAAUGGUCAUCUAAAAAUGUAAAUAAAACAUAUCAAAAUUUGAAGGACACAGCUAAAUCAGUACUGAAAGAAAAAUUCCUAGCACUAAAUAAGUAUGUGUAUGUAAGUACAUAUAUAUUUGCUUUAAAAAUAGUGGAUUGGGGUGCCUGGGUGUCUCAGACGGUUAAGUAUCCGACUUCAGCUCAGGUCAUGAUCUCACAGUUCGUGAGUUGGAGCCCCACAUCGGACUCUCUCCUGUCAGCACAGAGCCUGCUUGAGAUCCUCUGUUCCCCUCUCUCCCUGCCCUUCCUCCAUCAAGAAUAAUAAAUAAACAUUUAACAAAUAAAUAAAAAUUUAAAAAAUAAAAAAGUUAAUGGAUUAAAACUCUUAAUGGUUGGGGCACCUGGGUGUCUCAGUCAGUUAAAUGUCCAACUCUUGAUUUUGGCUCAGGUUAUGGUCUCAUGUACAGUUCGUGGGAUGGAGCCCUACAUGGAUGGAGCAUGGGGCUCCAUGCUGACAACAUGGAGCUUGCUUGAGAUUCUCUUCUCUCUUUCUAUGUCCCACCUCCAACCCCCCUCUCAAAAUAAAUAACUAAGCUUAAAAAAUCUUCAGGGUUAUACACAAAAAUAUUUUGAAACAUGUCUAAGUUAUGAUACAUUGUAUAUGCGUUAUGUAUAUAUGUAUAUGUAUUAUGUAUAUACAUAUACAUACAUAUAACCUAAAUACAUUAAAAAAUAUUUUAAAGUAUAACCUUUAAGAUUUUUAUUCCACUAACUUUAUAAACAACAUAUUUUAUAUAAAAGUAACCUUAGUGUUUGACUGGUGAAGGAAACUAAACCUGAUACCUUUGGUUCCAAAGGCUGAGUGUGUUGCAUUAAUUGAUGUCCUGGCUCUUGUCCCCUUGGGAAUGUUUCAAAUAUCCUAGGUCUUUUCACUGCACUGCAAUAAUGGACACACAUUGUAAACCGAGAUUUCAUACAUGAAAAGGAUUUGUCUACCAAAAACAACUUAACUAAACCUCUUUUUCUAUACCCUUUUUUGCUAUCAUCAUCUCCCUUCCAUGAUCAUUAUAGUCAUUGAUGGCUAUGAAUUCCAUAAAAGAAUAUCAAUUUAACAAUUUGGACACAGAAGGUACUAAGACCAAAAAGUUCAAAUGAGUGUGUGACUGAUGAGAGAAGGAGGAACACAAGGAUCUUCUCAGGAUCAUCAAGUAAACCCAGUGAGAGCUUAAUGGAGGAAGGUAAUGGAUUAAAACCCCAGUGCUUUUAAAUUAACAUUGACUACAUUCACUGGGUAUGCUGGAAUAGAAAUUUCAUCCUGGAACAGAAAAGAGAUAUUCAUGGAAAAUACUGAAGAAUCUCAACAAAAUCUAGGUUUUUUUUUUUUUAUUGUAAAGUACCGAUGCUAAUUGCUUAUUUUAACCAAGUGUGCCUUGGUUAUGUAGGAUGUCAACAUAAAGGAAAAAUGGAUGAAGAGUGUUCAGGAACUCUCUGCACAUUCCCUGUAACUCUUUUACAAAUCUAAAAAUAUUUCACAAUGUAAAGUUUUAUUAAUAUAAAAUUAACAUUGAAAUUUUGUAUACAAAGACAAAGACUUCACAGUAAGGGCUUUGAAGCAUGAAAUGCCAUUCUAGCAAAACCCCAAUACAUUGGUGAAGAGCAAUACAGACUUAAAAGAGAUAGGCCAGAACAUACUGGAAUCACACUUUCAGUCAUAUUACUUAAAGAUCAUCAUUACUUUCUUCCUAACUGGUAAAUCUAGAAUUAAAUAAGAACAUACCACAUAUUUUAAAUAAUUUCACAUAGAUAAUAAUGUGCAUUAAUUUAGUGCCAGAAUAGUUACACUCGGGAGUUGCCUGUGCUUGCUGUAUGCAUUAGAAAUGGCAUAAAGAAGGGGCACCUGGGUGGCUCAGUCAGUUAAGUGUCCAACCUCAGGUCAGGUCAUGAUCCAUGGGUCAGGUCCAUGAGUUCAAGACUGGUGUCGGGUUCUGUACUGACAGUUCAGAUCCUGGAGCCUGCUUUGGAUUCUGUGUCUCCCUCUUUCCUGCCCCUCCCCCACUCAUGCUCAGUCUCUCAAAAAUGAAUAAAUUUUAAAAAACAAAAAAAGAAAUGGCAUAAAGAACCUCCAAAGUUCCCAGAAAAAGGACAUUUAUAUGCAAAUAUGAAGGUUAAGGAAAACACUGUAAAAUACUUAGACUAAAUGAAGGUGUCUAAUCUCUGAAGUAAAGCAUAAAAAGUGAGAAGCCAUUGUGGCAGGCUAAGCAGCUUGGCUUCUUAAGUUCCACCGGCAAUAUAAAUUCAAUUUUUCCUCCACGCUAAAGAAUUAAAGUCCCAUAAGGGUGAAAUCUCUUCAAGCCACUUACCAUAGUUUUUCCUUUGAACAGAUUAUAAUUCUUUUCAGGAAGGAAGGAAGGAAGGAAGGAAGGAAGGGAGGAAGGAAAAGAAAGAAAGAAAAGAAAGGAAGGAAAGAAGAAAGAAAGAAAAAGGAAGAAAGAAAGAAGGAGAAAAAGAAACAAACUCAGGAAAAAAUUAAAAAAAAAAAAAUCCAGAAAUGUAGGCCUGGAUUCUUUCCCCUGAUAUUUUUGUACAAAGUACAGAAAGGGGAGAUGGCUGUCACUGUCCAGCCACUGUUAAUAAACCUGUUAUUGCUUCUAUACUUUCAGCACAUCAUUAGAAAGUAUAUACAAUUUGAUUCAAAAGUUAGAAAACAUGAGUGUGGCCAGUGGUAUUUAGUGUCAUUCUGCUCCUUCAAGGGAUUGGAAGAAAAAUUGUGAGAAAAUUAGUAUCAGCCUGCAACAUCCUUGCCCAGAUACAGUGUGAAUCUGGGGAAGAUUGUUCCCUGUGUUUUUUGAGGGGCUAGCUCUCAAAUGCAUAAUUCUGAAAAAUGAGUUAACUUUCUUUUUCUUUUUUAAGAUUCUGGAACAGUAUUGGAAGCAAAAAUAAUGAGAAAAAGAUGACUAUAAUUUAAAAAACAGACGCAUUCAAUCCCAUUUUCUUCAUAGAGCACAUACUAAAACAUAAAAGAAGUUCCAGGGUAAAUGUCCUAAAUAAUAGAACUAGUUAAUACCAUACAAACUGAGAUAACUUAGGGGUGCCUGGGUGGCUGAGUCAGUUAAGCAUCUGACUUCAGCUGAGAUCAUGAUCUUACAGUUUGUGAGUUGAAGUCCCCAUCAGGCUCUGAGCUGUCUGCUGUCAGCUGACAGCUCAGANNNNNUGGAGCCUGCUUUAGAUUUCGUGUCUCCCUCUCUCUCUGCCCCUCCCCCACUUGCUCUCUGUCUCUCUCUCUCUCUCUCUCUCUCUCUGUCUCUCUCUCUCUCAAAACUGACUAAACAUUAAAAAAAAAACUGAGAUGGGUGUUGAAGAGAGCAUCUUUUGGGAUGAGCACUGGGUGUUGUAUGGAAACCAAUUUGACAAUAAAUUUCAUAUAUUAAAAAAAUAAUAAAAUAAAAUAAAAUAAAAAAAAACUGAGAUAACUUAUAUUUGGAGAUGAUAAUUUUUAUCCCUUUCAUUAUAGCAGAUUCUACUGCAUAAAGAUUGAAUAAAAUAUCUCAACUACAAUGAGAUAUCACCUCAUACCUGUCAGAAUGGCUAGAAUCAACAACACAAGGAACAACAGUUGUUGGUGAGGAUGUGGACAAAAACAGACACUUGCAUACUGUUGGUAGAAAAGCAAACUGGUGCACCCACUGUGGAAAACAGUAUGGAGUUUCCUCAAAAAGUUAAAAAUAGAACUUCCUUAUAAUCCAGCAAUUACACUCCUAGGUAUUGACCCAAAGAAUAUAUGAAUACUAAUUCAAAGAUACAUGCACCUCUAUGUUUCUAAUAGCAUUAUUUACAAUAGCUGAGCUACAGAUGCAGCCCAUCAAUAAAUGAAUGGAUAAAGAAGAUGUGGUAUCUAUAUGAUGGAAUAUUAUUCAGCCAUAAAUAAGAUAGAAAUCUUGCCAUUUGCAAUGGCAUGGAUGGAGCUAGAGUAUACUACUGAGCGCAACAAGUAAGAGAAAGACAAAUACCAUAUGAUUUCACUCACGUGUGGCAUUUAAGAAACAAAACAAACACACAGAGGGAAAAAAAAUAGCAGAGAAAGAGACAAAUCAAGAAAUAGACUCUUGGGGCGCCUGGGUGGCGCAGUCGGUUAAGCGUCCGACUUCAGCCAGGUCACGAUCUCGCGGUCCGUGAGUUCGAGCCCCGCGUCGGGCUCUGGGCUGAUGGCUCAGAGCCUGGAGCCUGUUUCCGAUUCUGUGUCUCCCUCUCUCUCUGCCCCUCCCCCGUUCAUGCUCUGUCUCUCUCUGUCCCAAAAAUAAAUAAACGUUGAAAAAAAAAUUAAAAAAAAAAAAAAGAAAUAGACUCUUAACUAUAGAGAACAAACUAAUGGUUACCAGAGGGGAGGUGGGUGGGAGGAUAGAGGAAACAGGUGAUGGGGAUUAAAGAGGGCACUUGUGAUGAGCACCAGGUGUCAUAGAGAAGUAUUGAAUCACUAUAUCGUAUACCUGAAACUAAUAUAACACUGUAUGUUAACUAACUGAAAUUAAAAUAAAAACUUAAAAAAUGACAAAAAUGAGUAAAAUAAACAACUGGUCUUGUUGGGCAGAAACGCAUCCCCUCAGUAACACUUUGUUGGUAGUAAGCUUGCUACUUGGAAGUCUUCUGAGGACCACUCAUUUCUCCCGGUUAUAUCUAUGCCUUUAAAUCAGGUUACUAUGAUAAACAAGCUCAAGAGAGCUUAAUAAUUAAUGUAUAUAUGACUUAUUCCAUUAAAAAAUUAAAUUUUAGUCAUAAAAUUUUAUAUAGGAAUGUACUCUAUAAUUCUGAUAUUAAAAUGAUGUACAUAUAUCUAGAAUCAUUCAAAGAUGUAUUCUUCAAAACAUUAGAAGAUUGAGACCAAUGAAUUUGGUCUCAAUAUAAAACACUGUUGGUAUCUAUAAACUUCACUAUUCUUCAGAUAAUUCAUAAUUAAAAAAACAUUAAAAUUAAAAUAUUUUAGAGUAAUUCAUUAUCUCAUGCUACUGAAUUAGGGCAAUUUGUAAAUUAAUAGUCUAGUCUGACACAAGAAAAGUGAACUUUCUUAUUACAAUCUCAUAAUUUUGCAUCAAAAUGCAAAAAUAGCCAAGUGAUUCAAAACUGUAGAAGCAAUGUAAUGCAAUGAAUGGAUACCACACACACACACAAAAAGAGUUUUUACAGAUUUAAGAGGCUGGCACACUCUUCUCUCACUAGGAUAUAAUUAAUUACAUGGUCAGGAAUCUUUAUAUGUUUUAGUCACUACCUUACACAAAGAUCCAAGGCAGAGCUCAAAAUACAUGCUUUAAUCUCCAUUUUAUGACUAAAAUCUAAAAAUCAACUAAGGUAAACAUUGGCAAAGAAGAAUUAGCUAAUUUUUUAAAAAUAAGGCCUCAAUUUCUACUUCUUUCGUCAAAAGACAAACCAUAUUAGAUUUAAAAUAAUAAUUAUCAAGGAAAAUGGCAACCCAAAAGUAUGAUGAGUCAUAAUUUCACAUGGAUUGUUUGUAAUACUCUGUCAUAACUGUAAUUAUUAGAUGGCCUCUGAAAUCAGACCAUCUAGUUUCUAAUCCCAGAUUUAACAAAUUGCUGUGUGACCUUGGGCAAGUCACUUAAUCUUUCUGUGCCUCCUUUUCCUUACCUGUAUUUUUCAGACAGUGAUAAAACCUACCUCAUGGUGUUGUCAGGACAAUUAACUGAAACAUAAAACUGCUAUCCAAGUGUUAGUAGUAGUAGUAGUAGUAGUAAAUAGUGAUAGUAGCAGCAGCAGUGGCAGCAUGUCCCUAACAAGUGUUCAAAGUCAUUCUGUAGGGACACCUCUAAUCGAGGCGGAAUGUACUAAGACAGAAUUUUGCUUCACAGAUGAAAUGCAUAUUUAAUAACAACUCAUCCAAUUUCUACGAGUUUUUAUAGUUAUAAACAUUAAUAAUUUGUUUCUAAACUACUGUAUAAAUAUAAAAACAUAAAAUAGACUUGGAGUCUGGGAAUUACCUUUUUAACUUUAUAAUUAGCUUUUUAAACUUAUGCCUAUAGCUAAACUCACAUGUAAACUAAUCCUAACCAGAGGUGAUUUACUUUAAUAUGUAUUUUAAUAUAAAUUAAUGUCUAGUAUUGCUCAUAAUUCUGGAUCUUCAUUUCAUUGUUACAGUUCUGUGGUAAAUAUUUGUUGCUUACUGCUUAUGGCAUCUUUUCUCUAGAUGAUUGUUGAGAUAAUACCAUUAAUUUCUCUUUGAGUCUAUGUUCUGUCAUGUUGAAUUAUAUGAAAGAAAUGAAAAAGAAAUGUAUUUCAAUAAUAUAUAGGAAUCUGGAACAGUUCAAUUAAAAGUAAGUUAAAUAAUGUGGUGAGUCUGCAUGAAGUAGUAAACAUGAGGACAUGAAUUUCAAUGGCAGUCUGCAUUCAAUAUUUCAGCACAAAUGUUUUAAACUAUGAUUUUAAAUGUGCAACUUUGUACAUACGUUAUGUGUUGAGUUGCAUACCCACAAAAAGAUAGGUUGAAAUUCUAACCCUCAAUACCUCCAAAUGUAAGCUUACUUAGAAAUAAAAGUCUUUACAAGGUCAACAAGUUUAAAUAAGGUCAUCAUACUCAGCCUUGUGAGCAUGACUGGUGCCCUUGUGAAAAGGGGAAAUUUGGACACAAAGACAGACACAAAUAGAAGGAAGAGGAUGCAAAGAUACACAGGGAUCAUGUCACGUGAAGACCGAAGAUCAGAGCGAUGUAUCUACUACAAGCCUGUGAACAGCGCAGGCUACAAGAAGUGAGCUUCCUAAGAAAGGCAGGGGAAGUUACUUUCGGCGCACCCUCAGAGAGAGCAUGGCCUUGACAACACCUUGCUUGACUGCAGAUUUCUUCACAUCCCCCCCGCCCGCGCAACACUCUCGCCCCUCCCAGGCCCCUGCCGGGCCGAGCUUCGAGGCAAGAAACUGCUUGUUGUUUUGAGCCAUCCAGUUUGUGGUCCUUAGUGACAGCAGUCCUAGGUGUACAAGACAUUUUACUAAAGGUGCUGUUGCAUUUCUGGUGUUUAGCUACCGAUCUUCCAUAAUCUUAAUUAUAUACUUCUUUGCAACUGAAACUGUUCUAUAAAGAUGUCACACCCCUGUGGAAAUAAUCCUGAAUCUGAAGGUAUGACACCACAGGCAUAAGGCAGAUUUUUUUCAUCAGCAGAUUUUAUUGUGUUCUCGUAUAUUCUAUAUAAUGUGUAUUUUAUUUAUGCAGAAAAACUGGAUUAGGGUUUUCCACAGGAAAAUCGAGUGUAAAUUUCUUUUAAAACUAGAAUAAUUUUGUUUUACCUUAUACUGCUUUUUAGUGAGAAAAGAAAUUGUGUUCUUGUACACCUUGAUUUGAAUAUUCAAUAGAAACAUUUUUAUGCUAAUACUGAGUCAAGGUAAAAGAGAUAUACUAAACCACAUCCUACAUACGAUUUGAACCACAGAAACGAAGGCAUUAUAUAAUAUGUAUUAGUUAUAACCAUUCACCAGGAGCAAGUGCAAAAUAAAAAAUAAAGGAAUCAACUAAAAUUUCCACCAUAAAGCAUUCCACUAUAAUUGAGAAACACAUUUUGUAUUUUUUUUUGUACUAAGAAAGUAAAUUCAAUCUUCAAGACACAAUUCCUUGGUUAUUCUUUCAUAUAAAGAAUAUAACCUACUUCCAUAAUAAUUAUAAGAAUAAUGAGUAUGUUUACUUCUUUCUUUCCUUCUCAAAAAUACUUCUUUCUCCUGGGAUUUCCUUUUCUUCUUCAGAUUCAAAAUAAUAGAUUUUUCUCUGAGUCCUUCUUGUGUACUAACUUCAUUCAGUUUUGAAUUCCUCAGAUAUUUUAGUAUUUAAUGAAAAGGCUAAUGUUUACAAAAGAUCAUGUCUAUUAUGCAAUUUUAGAGCAGUUGUGGCCUACUAAGACAUCAGGUGACAGCUCCCAAAGGGAAGGAGGGAGUCAGUUGAGAUGAUCUGGAUGGAGGACAAGAGAAAACAAAUCAAGGAGAACAGCAAACCUAUGUAGACAUAAAGAAUACCAAUCGGUGAUCAGAAGAGGAUCUUAUCCAGGCAAGUUGGACACAAAGCGAAACAUUACAAAGGAUGUGGUUAAGUGUAUAGAUUAUGGAGUCACACCACAUUCAUUGACUGUAUCUUUAAUGGCUGCGUGAUCUAGAGCAUUAGUUUUCUCAUUGUCUAAAAAGAUGUAAUAUUAGUUUAUUGUAGGGAUAAAGGGAGAUGACCUUUUUUAGAGUUCAGUGUUUGUGUGGUACCUUCUAAACAUCUGGUAAUAGCCAAGGGCAGUAGCCCUAAUAAGGCAGGCAAGAACUGAUCCGUUAAGUAAUAAAACUGUCCAAGAAUUUUUUCUGAAUCCCCCCCUUUUUUUUAAUCUAGCUGACUGGAAUGCUCUAUAUGUCUAUUAAAAUAAAAUAUCUAUCAUUUCCAUGUCAUUAUAGAUUGUAUUUUCAUCCAGACCCAAAGCUUUACAUCAAUACCUUGAUAACUCAAAUUUAUAUCUCCAGGUCUGCUGUUCCUUGCCCUUGAGUAUGGGCAGGAUCUGUGACUUGAAUAUGGCAAAGAUAUUGGGAUAUCACUGUUGUAAUUAUGUUACAUAAUAUAAGUCUCCAUCCUGCUAGUUGACUUGUUCUAGAAUCUUGCUUCCCUUGCUGAUUUUAUGGGUUUUUUUCAAGUUUUAAUUUAAAUUCUAGUAAUUUAACAUAUGUGGUAAAAUUGGUUUCAGGUGCAGAAUAUAGUGAUUCAUCAUGUACAUAUAACAUCCAGUGCUCAUCACAAGUGCCCUCAUUAAUACCCAUAAACAACUUAGCCCACACCCCCACUUCCCUCUAUCACCCUCAAUUUGUUCUCUAUCCUUAUCUCUUAUGGUUUGCUUCCCUCUUUUUUUUUCCUUCCCAUAUGUUCAUCUAUUUUAUUUCUUAAAUUCCGCAUGAGUGAAAUCAUAUAUUUGUUUUUCUGACUUAUUUUGCUUAGCAUAAUACACUCUAGCUCCAUCCACAUUGUUGCAUAUGGCAUGAUUUCAAUCUUUUUGAUGGCUAAACAAUAUUCCAUUGUAUAUAACUUUGCUAUUUUUUUAAAAGUUUAUUUAUUUGCUUUGAGAGAGAGAGCGAGCAGGGAAAGAGCAGAGGAAGGGAGAGAGAGAAUCCCAAGCAGGCUUUCCUCCCUGAUAGUCAGACACAGCACUCAAUUUCAUGAACUGCAAGAUCAUGACCUGAGCCAAAAUCAAGAGUUGGACAUGUUAACCAACUGAGCCACCCAGGUGCCCCUAACCUUGCUAAUUUUAAAAAAGCAGGAUCCCAUAAGUCAUUAGGCUGCAAGGAAAUGAAGUCUGCCAAAAACCUGAGCAAGCUUGGAGGCAGACAUAGUUCUCCCAAGAUCAUGUCAAGAUGAGAACCCAGCUGACUGACACAUGUUUGCAGGCCUGUGGAGGACCCAGCUAAGCCAUGUCCAGAUUCCAACCUCACAAAAAUUGUGAAAUAGUAAUUUGUGUGGUUUUUAAAAUUGUUUUAUUUAUUUAUUUAUUUAUUUAUUUAUUUAUUUAUUUAUUUAUUUAUUUAUUUUUGAGAGAGAAAGAGAGAACGUGUGAGCAGAGAAGGGGCAAGAGAGAGGAUGCAAAGUGGGCUUUGGGCUGACAGGAGAGCCCAGGCACUCUAAUUUAUGUUGUUUUAAGUCACUAAAUUUGUGGCAAUUUUUUACGUACCAUAGAAAAUAAAUAUAGGGAUUUAAUAAGCAUCUUCUCACAAAUUUAGACUGUCCAAGAGAGUAGUGAUCCCCCUAACAUUCAAAUAUGCAUCUUCUAGUAUUCCUUAUCUAAGUUGAUGACCCCACCAUUCACCCCAGCUGAUCAGUUAAAACAUUGUGGAACCAAAACAGAUUAAAAACAAAAAAAAUCGGAGAACCAUUCUUGAUGGCUUUGUGCCUCUCAGACUGAAAAAUCCUAUCAGCCUUAUACUUAUGUCCAGAAAAGUAAUACUGGUUAUAAUCAUUUGGUUCUAAUCAUUUGCCUGUGCUCCUGUAAUAACUUCUUUUCUUCAAUUCUUGACCCUCUAGAGGCCAGAGAGAUCCUUUAGCAGGUAAAUCACUGAUCAAUAUCCUGCUCUCAAGUCUUUCAAAUAUUACCAUGAGACUUGAAACAAAAUCCAAAUCAUUUAGAUGAUUUGGAGUCCCAAGUGAUCUGGCCCAUUAUACCAUAUCCUACUUCUUCUUCCCUUAUUCAUUUUGCUCCAGCCAUACUGAUCUUCUUGCCAGUUCUUGAACACUCCAAGCAAAUUCUCUACUAUUGUCCUUCAAUUUGGUAUCCUUUCUGUCUUAAAUAGUCUCCCCUUAUUCUCACAACUUGCAUUCUUUUUUUUCCCCUAAACUUCUACUCACAUGUUAUCUCUUCAUAAAACCCCUUUUAUGAAUGACCCAUCUAAGUUAGAAAACUGUAUGACUCCUAUUUCACCUGCCUUAGGUUUUAUUUUUUUUUAUAGUACUUAUUAAAACUAUCAUUAUCUGGACGCCAGUUGAGCAUUCAACUCUUGAUUUCAGCUCAGGUCAUGAGAUUAGAGCCCAGUUUUGGGCUCUAUGCUGACAGUGCAGAGCCUGCUUGGGAUUCUCUUCUCUCUCUGCCCCUCCCUCCCUCACUCUCGCUUGUGCUCUUUCUAAAAAUAAAUAAAUAAACAUUUAAAAAACAAAAAUAGGGGAGCCUGGGUGGUUCAGUUGGCUAAGUGUCUGACUUGGUUUUGGCUCAGGUCAUUAUCUCACAGUUCAUGAGUCUGAGCCCCACAUUAGACUCUACUAACAGCACAGAGCCUGCUUGGAAUUCUUUCUCUCUUCCCCUUCCCUGCUCACUCUCUAUCUCAAAAUAACUAAGUAAACUUAAGAACCAACCCCCUCCCCCCCAAAAAAAAUAUUAUUAUUGAAAUAGGGAAUCUGAAUGAACCUUAUGAAGUUCUGUUGUUUUCCUGCCCUAUUCAUUCCAGGACCUGUACCCUUGCCUUCCACAUGUCUCAUAGUACCAAUAAUGUAUGCCCUCUUUGUAAGGAUCAGGAGUUAAUGAUUUCUUUGGAGACUUCCAGCACAUUGAUAACAUCUAAGGAAUGACUAGUUGAGAAUAACUAGGUUAGGCCAUCCUGUGUGUAUUCCAGACCACUGGGACUAGAUAUCUAGACACACCCUGGCUGCAAGGAAUAAGCGACUUAUGGAGGACACCCAGACUCUAGUUUUUGUUCUGACCAGUUCCUUGAUGCCUGAGAGGACAUGUACACCAAAUCACAAUCCUGAAUAAAAACCCCAGACCCCAAACAAAAAUUAGACUCUCUCUCCUUUCCCUUCCACAUCUCUCAGAUGCUCUGUCUAUAUCUACACUAUCUAAAUAUCUUCAAUAAACUUUGAUCUCACUUCCUUUUGGCUUGCAUUUGAUUUCUAUCAUGCGUGAAAUCAAGGGUACUCUUCGCUGGUCCUGCGGGAGCCCCUCUGGGUCCUAGAACCCGGUCUGUCUAAAUCAUUAUCACCUAUUACCCAUGUAUAUUGUCUUUUAGGUAGAAUAUAAGUCACAUAAAUACUGGUAACUUGGUUUUGUUCAUUUCCAUAAUCUAGAAUACUACAUGGUAAAAAGUAAGCAGUUGACCAAUUUGGCAUAAAACUGUAGUUGAAAUCAUUUUGGAAUCCUUUCAGGAAAAAAAAUAUUCUGCUAUAGUACUUUGAGAAGUUCCAAGUAUCUCACAGAAAAACACGAGUACAUUUCAAACUUUUAUUGAAAAUUUAAUGCUAACUAAUCACAAAACUAUAUUCUGUCUUCAUCUUUUUGUAUUCUGUUUUAAGAAAUUUUUAAAGUGAAUUAUCCCAUGAAUUAACAAGUAUUCCAAACUACAGCUUGUGACUUCUCUGUCAGCUACAUCUCAACCAUCAUUUUUUACUCUCCAAUGUAUAUUUAAUACAAAGAAAUAGAAAAUAGUGUGGCAGAAAAGUAAAAUAACUUGUUCCCCAAGUAUGUUAACAGUGAGUAUAAAAGUCAGGCUUGUAAUGUUAUCCGACAGAGACCAGAGACUAUGUGCAUGGGGGAUCUGCUUAUGGUGACACAAUCCAUCAUACUGUCAUUGUUUGACAGUCACAGACAAGAGGAGAUACCUAGGAAUUACAAAUGAAUUUUCUCACUAACAAUUUAUAGCAAUUUGCAGAACAUUGUAACUGGCACAUUUUCUUCACAUAAGUUCCUUAUGUUACAAUAAAAAAAGGAUGUUGUUUUUUUAUACUGUUCUUAUUUUAUUCAGGAAGAUAUUUGCCAACAGAGUAGUAUCAUGUGUUAAUAAAUUGAGUCAAAUAAUACUCCCUCUCUUGUCUGAGCCAGUGCUUUUCUGCUUGAGGAAUGAGUAGCUUAGAUGAUUGAUAACAGAAUCCAUAACCUUUCCCCUCCAAGUCACCAGCUUGAACCCAACCUAGUUGAGCAAUGAGAGACAUUUGUUUCCACAGGCAGCUUAUGAGGUUUGCAUGAAAUGAAUGGGUAGUCUCUAUUUGCUUACUGGACCUGAAAUGAUAGUUACUUGAAUUAGAAAUAUAUUCUGCUGUGAGUAAAGACCUAGAUUAUCGUUAUACCAAUAUCCUUUUUUUCAAGGCCCUAAAGUUAAUGUAUGAUAUUGGUUGGCAUUCAGUUUCUGACUAGAAUUUUACUCUCUGAGGCAAGUUUAUAUUCAGUAUUUUCAAUGUUUUCAAUAUUACAUAAGUAUUAUUUUAGAUUUUUAAUAAUUAAAACCUAAACAUGGUAUAGUAAUAAAGGGUAGCAGAAUUCACUACCCCAAAAUAUGUCUCUUUGACAUAAGGAUUAUUUUAAGCUUUUUUUUUUUUAAACUGCAGACAAAGGAAAAGCUCUGUAAACCAAGUAAACCUUUUUGUAAGAGACAUUUACAUUUAUAAGGGAAAUCUCCAUUUGCCAGGGUGUCUGUCUCUCUGUACCAGGAAGAGAAGGAUGACUCUAAAUCUGCAGAAACUCUUAUCAGUGGAGAAGGCAAAAGCCUAAAUCUGCAUAAGAACAUUACCUUGGCUUACAGUGCUUUGCUUGGUAACCUGUCAUGACUGACUCUCCCUUCUUCCCAACAUCCUGGUUUUUUGUUUGUUUUUGUUUUAUUUUGUUUUGUUUUUAGUUGAAGAUAUUAUUUAAGGUGGUGACUUGGGCCAUUUCACAGUUACUUAGUUUUACUGGGUUUUUUCCAUGUAUACAGGAGGUAUACGUGUUAUUAAAAUCGUUUUUAUCCUGUUAAUCUAUCACUUAUUUGAGGGGGUAGGGUUGGGGGGUGUCUAAGCCAAGAGUCUAAAAGGGUAAGGGAAAAUUAUUUUUCUUCCCCCACAAAAAACCAACUAUAUGUAUAAUAAUUAAUGUUUUUGUCUUAAAUUUAUAUUCAGGUCUCAAAAGUUAGAAUAUCACCUUUUGUAAGAUUUAAAUCAUUUUUUUAGUAUUUUUAAUUCAUUUAUUAAUUAAAGAAUUUAAAGUAAACUGAUAAAAGGAUAUAUGUUUUUUAAGUUUAUUUAUUUAUUCUGAGAGACACAGAGAGCACUUGGGGGAAGGGCAGAAAGAGAGGGAGGGAGGGGAUCCCGAGCAGGGUCUGCACUGUCAGCGUGGAGCCUAACAUGGGGCUUGAUCCCACCAACCAUGAGAUCAUAACUUGAGCAGAGAUCAAGAGAAGGACGCUUAACUGACUGAGCCAUGCAGGCAUUCCAUAAAAGGAUAUUUUCUGAAGACAUUUCAAAAUGAAGGAAAUAAUAUCUUCCAAUUGGUGAGUUAGUCAGAAGUGACUCAGGUUAUGUGGGCCCUCCUCUUUCCUAGAAGCUUCCCAAAUGUAUGUAAUGGAAGAAAAAGUUGUUUUCACAGAUAAUUUUUUUAAAAAUAUGUUAUUUAUAAGAGCUCCUUGGUUCUCAAUGUAGCAUCUCUAUAUUCACUAUAGUGGUUAAGGCUGUCAUCUGUCCUUCCUGGCAUGGGGGAGGGUAAGUACUACACUUCCUUGCCGCUAUGGAAGCUAUGUGUGGAUAUGUGAUUUGUCUUUUCUAAGAAAAUGUGAGCAGAAAUGACGUGGCACCUUUCUUGCGGUUGCAGUGAUCAUGGAAAUAUGGAUCCACCUGAUGCAGCUACCCCCUCCCAACUUCAACUCAGGUCAAGAUCUCGCAGUCCGUGAGUUCGAGCCCCGCGUCGGGCUCUGGGCUGAUGGCUGGGAGCCUGGAUCCUGCUUCCGAUUCUGUGUCUUCCUCUCUUUCUGACCCUCCCCCGUUCAUGCUCUGUCUCUCUCUGUCUCAAAAAUAAUUAAACGUUAAAAAAAAAAAAUGCA